UACGUAGGCAGCAAGCGUUGUUCGGAGUUACUGGGCGUAAAGGGUGUGUAGGCGGUUUUCUAAGUCUGGUGUGAAAUCUCCCGGCUCAACUGGGAGGGUGCGCCGAAAACUGGAAGGCUAGAGUGCGGGAUGGGAGAGUGGAAUUCCUGGUGUAGCGGUGAAAUGCGUAGAUAUCAGGAGGAACACCUGUGGUGUAGACAGCUCUAUGGACCGCAACUGACGCUGAGACACGAAAGCGUGGGUAGCAAACAGG
rnacentral:rRNA from 1 species